AUGGUGAUAGCUUCCGGAGUGAUUGACAGGGGACACCUGUCCUCGUUCGGCGGCCCACCGCCAGACUCGUCGUCGUCGUCCUUCUUCUCCGAAGAUCUUGUCCCCACAGAGAGGCAGGUUGGGUUCUGGAAAUCGGAGUCAAUGGUGGAUCAGAGAGGGAGCAAGCCAGCUUUUGCUUCUCCGCUUGAGAAGAUCCAUCCGAUGGGGGCGAAUCCUGAAGGCGGUCUGGAACAGACAGGAGGCCAAGUCUUCAAGGGCCUGGAUGCCCUUCGCGUCAGCAAAGCGAUGGGGCAAGGAAAUGCUUCGACUUCGCCGUCGGCAUCCUGGGGUGAUAUGCUCACGACCCCCGGAUCUAGAUUCGGCUUGUCUGCUAGAGAGGCGGCUAUUGCUGAAACAGCCAGUGGCAACUCGAGAAUAAUGGCCACCGGUGUUUGCGGCCAGUCUGCUGAUGCACUUAGCUUCAUCUGCGAGGGAGAUGAAGCUCUAGGGUCCAUGGAGGAAGUUGAAGCUCAAACUAUUGGAGAUCUUCUACCAACUGAUGAUGAUUUGAUAUCGGGCGUCAUCGAUGGCUUUGAACUCUCUGGCCUGUCUAUCAACCAGGAUGACGCCGAUGAAGAUAUAUUUGGCACUGGAGGAGGGAUGGAGCUUGAGAAUGAUGAUUCCAUUUCCGUUAAAGGUGCAAGAAAUCUCGAAGGAUCCUCCAAGUGCCAUUUUCCUGGGGAGCACCACAUCAACAAAUGCCCUUCCAGAACUCUUUUCGUCACAAACAUUAACACCAACGUUCUUGAUUCUGAUCUAAGAGUUCUAUUUCAGCAAUAUGGGGACGUACAUAAGCUUUACACCUGCAAGGAACAUGGGUAUGUAACAGUGUCUUACUAUGACAUACGAUCUGCCCAAAACGCAAUGAGAGCACUCCAUGGCAAGCCCCUGGGGCUGGUGAAGCUUGAUGUGCAAUUCUGCAUUCCCAAGGGAAAUGCUUCAGAUAAGGAUAUGAGCAAGGGAAUUUUGGUGGUGUCUAACAUCGAUCCUUCUGUUUCCAAUGAUGAUCUUCUCCAAGCACUUACUGUUUAUGGUGAUGUGAAGGAGAUUUGCAGGGCUUCUACAAGCUGUAAUAAGAAACUCGUAGAGUUCUACGAUGUCAGAGCAGCAGAAGCAGCACUAUAUGACCUUAAUAAGGGUGCCAUCUCAGGCCCAAAAAUCAAGGCUGAAGUUAGCAAUCCUGGAGGGACAAUUUUUGGCUUGAGGCAACAGUAUCCGAGAGAGUGGAAGCUUGAUGGUUCCCCUCGCCAGCCUAGAAACUCUCCACCUGGGAUCAUUGGAGGCCCUAAAAGUCAUGAGAACAGCAAUCUGCAUAAUUUAUUUUCUCCGGUUAGUCCGCAAUUGGAUAGAUCACCCCAUGGCAUCGCUUCAAGUGGCCCUCAGAAGCUGUCGUCGCCUAUCAGAAUUGAACCUACACGCCAGUACAAUAACCAAGCUGCUAUUGGUGAACUUGGCGGAUCACUUGGUCAAGGAAACUUCGGGCAAGGAAUGCAGAUGUUCCACCCACACUCACUGCCGGAGAGUCAAAACGGUAUUUGUAAUAUCUCCAAGUCCAUGACAUCAAGUGGCAGGAGUGCUGGCUUCAGAGUGGAUGGAGUGGAUUACAGUCAUCUCCAGAAAGUGGGUUCUGGUAGCCUUCAUGGUCAUUCCUUCGAUCAAAAUAACGAAGCAUUUGGGCCUGCCGGAGUUGGAAGUUUUCCCCUCAAUGGACACCACUACAGUUGGAAUAACUCAAAUGCUUUUCCUCAAAGCCCCUCCUCUCCAAUGCUGUGGUCGAAUGUGCAGCACCCGGGGCCCAUGCAUGGUUAUCCUGGUGUCGUGCCACCCCACUCACUGAAUAAUGGUGCUUAUCCUAUGGAUCAACACCACAUGGGCUCAGCUCCAAACAAUGGAGGCAGUUUCAGAAACGCGCGCUCAGUUCAUCCAGGGUCUCUCGGGAGUGUAGGGUUUCCUGGUAGCCCUCAAAUGUAUGCAUCAGAUGUCCCUGUCUUCGCACCUGCCAGGGGAAGUUACAGGGAGACCAUGUUCUCUCCAGUUGGCGCUGGAUUCCCGUCGCUGCAACAAAUGUGCAAUGCAAUGAGCCGAAGGAACCCUAUGGUCCAGGUUUCCGCUUCCUAUGAUGCUACAAAUGAUCGGAUGAGGAGCCGCAGACAUGAUGGAAACGCUGUCCAGCCAGAGAACAAAAGGCUAUUUGAGCUUGACAUUGAGCGCAUAGCAAAGGGUGAAGACCCACGCACCACGCUGAUGAUCAAAAACAUUCCUAACAAGUACAACUGUAAACUGCUUCUGGGCGUCAUUGAUGAGAAUCACCGUGGAACCUAUGAUUUCGUCUACCUUCCGAUCGACUUCAAGAACAAAUGCAACGUGGGCUAUGCUUUCAUCAACAUGACCGAUCCGCAGCACAUAAUUCCGUUUUACAAGACGUUUAAUGGCAAGAGAUGGGAAAAAUUCAAUAGCGAGAAGGUGGCGACACUCGCGUAUGCUAGAAUCCAGGGCAGGAAUGAAUUGGUUUCUCAUUUUCGGAAUUCUAGCCUGAUGAAUGAAGACAAAUGGUGCCGCCCUAUACUCUUCCACAAGGAUGGUCCGAACGCAGGGGAGCAGGAACCUUUCCCUGUCGGGAACAACAUCCGGCCUAGGUCCGGGAGGAACAGGCCGCUCCACAGCGCGGACACCAGAGGGGACGCGAGCCUGUCGACCUCGCCCAACCAGGAGAACUCCAGCCACAGGGCCAACGCGGCGGCCGAGGGCGACGACUCGAUCUUCGCUCACUAA
rnacentral:rRNA from 1 species